GAAGUGUGAAGAAAGAGUUCGUCAAAUUUGGUCCCAAAUGGGAUAACAACCAAAAAUAAUUUCUUUGAGGCACUAAAUGGCUUGUCUAAAGUUUUUUAGGGUUAGAAUAUUUUAUAAUUCAAUGAAAUUGAUUGAUUACAAGUGCUAGAGAUACAUGAAGAAUGUUUAGAAGUGUGAAGAAAGACUUGAUCAAAUCAGAUCCCAAAUGGGAUAACAACCCAAAACCAUUGCUUUGAGGCACUAAAUGGCUUGUGUAAAGUUGUUUAGGGUUAUAAUAUGUUAUAAUACAAU
rnacentral:lncRNA from 1 species